rnacentral:rRNA from 1 species
CACGUAGGGGACGAGCGUUGUCCGGAUUCAUUGGGCGUAAAGCGCGCGUAGGCGGCUCGGAAAGUCGGGCGUGAAAUGCCGGGGCUCAACCCCGGGACUGCGUCCGAUACUUCCGAGCUGAAGGUAGGUAGGGGAGAUCGAAUUCCUGGUGUAGCGGUGAAAUGCGCAGAUAUCAGGAGGAACACCGGUGGCGAAGGCGGAUCUCUGGGCCUUACCUGACGCUGAGGCGCGAAAGCUAGGGGAGCAAACGGG